ensembl:rRNA 5S_rRNA 5S ribosomal RNA
GGUAGAGGACAGUUACCACCCCGAAUGCACCACAUCUUGUCUGAUCUCAGAAGCUAAGCAGGGUCAGGCCUGGUUAGUACUUGUAUAAAGAUGUUUUAAACCUAUUAUACCACUAUUA